UACGUAGGUGGCAAGCGUUGUCCGGAUUUACUGGGUGUAAAGGGCGUGCAGCCGGAGAGACAAGUCAGAUGUGAAAUCCACGGGCUCAACCCGUGAACUGCAUUUGAAACUGUUUCCCUUGAGUGUCGGAGAGGUAAUCGGAAUUCCUUGUGUAGCGGUGAAAUGCAUAGAUAUCACGCAGAACUCCGAUUGCGAAGGCAGCAUACCGGCGCCCUACUGACGCUGAGGCACGAAAGCGUGGGUAUCGAACAGG
rnacentral:rRNA from 1 species